rnacentral:rRNA from 1 species
UACGUAGGGUGCAAGCGUUGUCCGGAAUUAUUGGGCGUAAAGAGCUCGUAGGCGGUCUGUCGCGUCUGCUGUGAAAACUCAGGGCUUAACCCUGAGCUUGCAGUGGGUACGGGCAGACUAGAGUGCGGUAGGGGAGACUGGAAUACCUGGUGUAGCGGUGAAAUGCGCAGAUAUCAGGAGGAACACCGGUGGCGAAGGCGGGUCUCUGGGCCGUAACUGACGCUGGAGGAGCGAAAGCAUGGGGAGCGAACAGG